UACGUAGGGGGCAAGCGUUGUCCGGAAUCAUUGGGCGUAAAGCGCGUGUAGGCGGUCCGGUAAGUCCGCUGUGAAAGUCGGGGGCUCAACCCUCGGAUGCCGGUGGAUACUGCCGGGCUCGAGUCCGGAAGAGGCGAGUGGAAUUCCCGGUGUAGCGGUGAAAUGCGCAGAUAUCGGGAGGAACACCAAUGGCGAAGGCAGCUCGCUGGGACGUGACUGACGCUGAGACGCGAAAGCGUGGGGAGCAAACAGG
rnacentral:rRNA from 1 species